UACGAAGGGGGCUAGCGUUGCUCGGAAUUACUGGGCGUAAAGGGCGCGUAGGCGGACAUUUAAGUUAGAGGUGAAAGCCCAGGGCUCAACCCUGGAAUAGCCUUUAAUACUGGAUGUCUUGAGUUCGGGAGAGGUGAGUGGAAUGCCGAGUGUAGAGGUGAAAUUCGUAGAUAUUCGCAAGAACACCAGUAGCGAAGGCGGCUCACUGGCCCGAUACUGACGCUGAGGCACGAAAGCGUGGGGAGCAAACAGG
rnacentral:rRNA from 1 species